GAGCAGUCCCCACGGGCUGCCUUUUCCUCGAGCGCUACCCUGAACUCUGUGGUUGGGACUAGAAAACUACUGAGCUCAAAGCUGACUUAGCUCAUUUGUUGAUUUUUUUUUUUUCAACGUAAGUUUAAUGGAAAGAGAUGAGGCAGAAUCAGCGUCGGGAAGGAGCCAAAGCCGACUUUACUUGGGGAGGUAUAAAUGAGAACUAACUACUUAGUUGCAGAGUCUACUUAGUAGUGAGCCUUAACUAGCUACUUAGCAGCCUAUCGGAAUUAGCUACUUAGUAGCACAGUCUACUUAGUAACAUAGUGUAACUUGUGGGAAAAUGGACUUCUACAAGUAACACUUAUGUAUCACAAGUAUCAACAGAUACUUUUUUUGUCUAAUCAAUGAGUGGACACUCUCGGUAAACGCUUCCCUUGGGGUUCUGAAGAUUAAGUGCAUCUAAUAUAGCUGGUUCAAAGCAAUGUGGACAAAGUGGUGAUGGCUAUUUAGGCUGCCACUAGAAGGUGUGACCAAGAUUUAAGAUUAAUCUUCCCAUCUGUCGUAGUCACUGCUCUAGUGCUGGGAAGGGACAUCACAAUCAAGGCAACUCUUAGAACGGAAAGCAUUUAAUGGAGGACUUGCUUAUAGUUUCAUCAUGGCUGGGUGUAUUGCAGCAUGAAGGUACUGUGCUGGAGAAGUGGGUGAAACCUAUAUCCGGAUUCACAGGCAGAUCAAGAGACAAUGAGCCUGGAGUAGACUUUUGAAACCUCCAAGCCCAACCACAACAACACACCUCCAACAGAGGCACACUUCACCAACUUGAUACUAAGCAUGCAAAUAUAUAACCCAGCAGGGCCAUUUUCAUCCAAACUGCCACAUUACCUCAGAAGAUUUGGAUUUACAGUGGGUCUUCCCACUGCAAAUGAUUUAAUUAAGAAUACUUCACAGGUGUACUCAGCUACUUGGGGUUUUGUGAAUCCAGUUGUGGUUAAACUGACAACCAAGACUGGUAUCACAUGUGACCACUUACUCUGACACCCUUUGCUGCCAUCACUAUCCACCAUGAAGCAGUGCAGCCAAGGAGUGACCCUCAUUACAGAGGUGAAGUGAUUUGAACUUCAAGCCUUGAGAACUGUGAGCUUCAUUUUUUUGUUUGUUUAAUUAAGUGCUUUUCUUCAUAAAUAACCCAUUUAAAAGAAUUUUGUUGUAAUGAAAUGCUUGUGCAUUGGACUGCACAGAACAGUGGGAGUGGUCAGGCUGACUCUGACCUGGAAGGCCAGUAAGGGACUUUAGUCUUCUCUUCCUUGUUGUUCCACUAGUCAUUACAGCAUUCUUUGCAGUUGCGUAUUUGAAAGCAGGACAGGGAAUUCCAUGACCUACUUUCUGAGAAGAAAAUCAUGAGAGUAAUAAUGUUCUAUGUCUUGAGGCUAAGACUCAAAAAUAGACAUUCCCAGUCACAUUUCAUUGUAAGAAGGUAGUCACUUGAUCAUAUCUAGUUACAGAUGGAGCUGAGGAAUGUCUCUGAGCGAAUGUCAUGGGCCUAUCCACAGCUCCUCCUCAAGUAGUCAAGGUUUUCAUGGAGAGUUAAGAGUACCCACUAUAUAUUCCGUGAAUUUUGGUAUCAGCAAAGCGUUCAACUUUUCAAGCUUUGUAAGUCCAAAUCAAUAGCUACAGGAUCCGCUAGGACCUAGAAUAAACUGAGUGUGGCAGUUCAAAAGUGUUCUAAGUACUUGGAACAUGUUCUCUUAGCUGGCACCAUCUUAGAACCCAGAGACCAUUCUGUAAGAACACGAAGCCCCAAGGUGGGACCAUGUACUGAUGCUGUGGUCAGUCGUGAUAGCUGAGCCAAGCUGUUAACCCUGUCAUUAAUAUAUCUCGGUUCUCAUCGUCUCUGGCUCUGGGUUGUUUAAAUCCUCCAGCUUGAGGCUAUAGACAUCAAGGAAAGAGACAAUCCUUCCUCUACCCUGACCAAGUCCCCAAACCACAUCAGGUUUCAGCGUAAUACAAAGGUUUUCUUAUUUGAUUUUUAAAGGGAGUGAAGGACAUCGGGUGCAAUUAAUCUUUAGGGAGUACAGCCUUAGUUGUAUAUUUAAAUACUCCCACUUCUCAAACGUGCCCUGGAUAGAAUUUUCUAAAAUAUUUAAAUUAUCUACCCAAUUAAGAAUGAACGUUUAUAGUUUAAUCACUCGUUUUAUGAUAUUUGCUGAAUACUAUAUUUUAGUGCAGGUGCUUUAAGUUAUAGAAGCCAAUUGUAUUGAGUGUUGAGUUUCUGUAUAGACUUACAGCUUUUUGUGUGAAAAAAAUAAAUACCAUCAUAUUGUAUCCCAGAGCAUUCAAUAUCAGAGACUGCUGAUAAGUAUCACAUGCUUACAAAAACUUGUUUAAUUGAUAUUUUUAAUUUACAGUAAGCGGGGUUAUAAGUACCCAUUAUUUGUGUGCACAUAUAUCAUGAAUUCAGGUGUGGCUAGAAAGACAUUUUUCUAUUUAAAAAUAAGAACCACUAGUUAUAAGCACUUCUAAAAUAUAAAACAAGCUAAAGUACAUUGCUUUAUAAAGAUUUUUAUGAAAGGUGCCCCAUUAAAGAUGCUAUUUUGGAAAAGUGUAUUAUAGUCAUUUGCAUAUUUAUUUUUAUAUACUGAUAAUUCACAUGAUCUGUGUAUUGCUUUAACAGUUUAACUAUAAGCUGCUUAUUUUUAAGGUAUCUAACUACACACAUAUGCAAGCAGUUUUAAAUCCAGACUCAGCUGUGUGGCUGUGCUACCCCUCAUAGGAAAUCCUCCCCAAGUCUUCUUCAGAGACCGAUGCAGAGGGUUCAAGCACUGUCCUUCUUCACUAGAAGGAGGCUUAUGAGAUCCCAGCAAGAUGGAUCUCGGGCCGUGUUUUAGACUGUGCUGAAAACAAUCUGCUAAAGACCUCCAAAGCAGUUUAGACAACUUUGACUUAGCUGCAAGCCAUGUGAACACCUAGUCGCUUGACUUGAAAUUGGAGCUGUAGAGAAGAGAUUCAAGAUUUUCCUUCUGAGUUCACUUGCUAAAGACACUUCCUAUUUUUUAUGUGCUAAGAAUGGAAAACUAAGAGCUAUUUUUAAACAAAGAAUAAAAAUGAUCAAUCUGAC
rnacentral:lncRNA from 1 species